GAGUAAGCAGGGUCUCUGCUUAGUCUGUUCUACUGAUCAACAAAAGAUGGAUCGGAAUCAGAUGUACCGGUAUAUUCUGAAAUGCACUUUUUAGACAUUUGGCAUGCGAACCAAUGUGGAAGGAGAAGUGAGAUUCCCACCAAAAACUGAGUUUUUCCUGAUUUUUGAGCUUCUGCUACAGACUCUUUUGAACACUGAAGUCAACUGAAGUAACUCAUCCUUCCAAUAAUUCCUGUGAAAACAGCAUGUACUUUAGAGAUGCCUCUUCAUAAAAAAAAGCCAUCUAAAUUAUAGAAGAAUAUGUUUGAGAUUGAAGCAUCCUCAGCCUCAUCUGAGACCUUCUUGGAUGAGAAGCGAAACAUCUUCAAAGAAAAACAAGAAAGUCCAGUUGCCUCUUGAAAAAACACCUUUGGGACAUCCAUGACCUGGAUGACUGAGAAUCUCUAUAGGCAUCUGAGACCACCUAGUUCCCUUUCCAUUAUGCUGUAUUCCUGCUAUGAACAGGGACUAUCAAUUUUCUUCCUAGGCUGAGCUGAGAAAGUAUCACUGCUGCAUCGUGACCCAAUCAACUUCGAUGAUUGAAGCUGGGACUGAACCUAGUCCUCAAGGAUGCACCAUUCUACAAUAACUAGACAAACACCUGCAAUUCUUUCUUUUGCACAAGGUUCUCAAACUUCAGGCAUUUUUGUGCAAGCCUGCCUGGCAUAUUUUCCCUUGCAUUCUGAGCUAAGAAACAUUUUGAAAUGGAUGUUAACAGUAUCUAUUUAUUUCUCACCUGUUUCUGCGAUGGACCAUUCAGUUCUGACAUUUUGAGCUUAAUAGAUCACAGGAUUUCAAAAUAAAAGAAAUCCAGGGUA